rnacentral:rRNA from 1 species
CUUCCUGCAGUCGAACGGCAGCACGGGGGCAACCCUGGUGGCGAGUGGCGAACGGGUGAGUAAUACAUCGGAACGUGCCCAGUCGUGGGGGAUAACUACGCGAAAGCGUAGCUAAUACCGCAUACGAUCUACGGAUGAAAGCGGGGGAUCGCAAGACCUCGCGCGAUUGGAGCGGCCGAUGGCAGAUUAGGUAGUUGGUGGGGUAAAGGCUCACCAAGCCGUCGAUCUGUAGCUGGUCUGAGAGGACGACCAGCCACACUGGGACUGAGACACGGCCCAGACUCCUACGGGAGGCAGCAGUGGGGAAUUUUGGACAAUGGGCGCAAGCCUGAUCCAGCCAUUCCGCGCGCAGGAUGAAGGCCUUCGGGUUGUAAACUGCUUUUGUACGGAACGAAAAGCCUUUCUCCAAUACAGAGAGGUCAUGACGGUACCGUAAGAAUAAGCACCGGCUAACUACGUGCCAGCAGCCGCGGUAAUACGUAGGGUGCAAGCGUUAAUCAGAAUUACUGGGCGUAAAGCGUGCGCAGGCGGUGAUGUAAGACAGUUGUGAAAUCCCCGGGCUCAACCUGGGAACUGCAUCUGUGACUGCAUCGCUGGAGUGCGGCAGAGGGGGAUGGAAUUCCGCGUGUAGCAGUGAAAUGCGUAGAUAUGCGGAGGAACACCGAUGGCGAAGGCAAUCCCCUGGGCCUGCACUGACGCUCAUGCACGAAAGCGUGGGGAGCAAACAGGAUUAGAUACCCUGGUAGUCCACGCCCUAAACGAUGUCAACUGGUUGUUGGGUCUUCACUGACUCAGUAACGAAGCUAACGCGUGAAGUUGACCGCCUGGGGAGUACGGCCGCAAGGUUGAA